rnacentral:rRNA from 1 species
UACAGAGGUCUCAAGCGUUGUUCGGAUUCAUUGGGCGUAAAGGGUGCGUAGGCGGCGCGGUAAGUCGGGGUGUGAAAUCUCGGGGCUUAACUCCGAAACUGCAUUCGAUACUGCCGUGCUUUGAGGACUGGAGAGGAGACUGGAAUUUACGGUGUAGCGGUGAAAAUGCGUAGAUAUCGUAAGGAAGACCAGUGGCGAAGGCGGGUCUCUGGACAGUU